CUGAAUGUUGACCUCGGAUCAGGUAGGAAUACCCGCUGAACUUAAGCAUAUCAAAGCACCGGAGGAAA
rnacentral:rRNA from 1 species